rnacentral:rRNA from 1 species
GGCCCUGCUUGCAGGGUACUCGAGUGGCGAACGGGUGAGUAACACGUGGGUGAUCUGCCCUGCACUUCGGGAUAAGCUUGGGAAACUGGGUCUAAUACCGGAUAGGAACCAUCUUUANUGUGGUGGUUGGAAAGUUUUUUCGGUGUAGGAUGAGCUCGCGGCCUAUCAGCUUGUUGGUGGGGUAAUGGCCUACCAAGGCGGCGACGGGUAGCCGGCCUGAGAGGGUGUACGGCCACAUUGGGACUGAGAUACGGCCCAGACUCCUACGGGAGGCAGCAGUGGGGAAUAUUGCACAAUGGGCGCAAGCCUGAUGCAGCGACGCCGCGUGGGGGAUGAAGGCCUUCGGGUUGUAAACUCCUUUCGCUAGGGACGAAGCUUUUCGUGGCGGUACCUAGAUAAGAAGCACCGGCUAACUACGUGCCAGCAGCCGCGGUAAUACGUAGGGUGCGAGCGUUGUCCGGAAUUACUGGGCGUAAAGGGCUCGUAGGUGGUUUGUCGCGUCGUCUGUGAAAUUCUGGGGCUUAACUCCGGCGCGUGCAGGCGAUACGGGCAUAACUUGAGUGCUGUAGGGGUAACUGGAAUUCCUGGUGUAGCGGUGAAAUGCGCAGAUAUCAGGAGGACACCGAUGGCGAAGGCAGGUUACUGGGCAGUUACUGACGCUGAGGAGCGAAAGC